GAAGGGGGACACAGAUGGGAGUUAAGCUCUAGAGAAGGUCUUCUGUGGAAGCAUGCACUGGAAAAUAUCCACCCGCUGGCAAAGAGAUGCAUGGGCACAGGCGUCAAGUGGGAAACAGGUAGUCUCCAAAAAGGAUCUUUAACUUCAUGCUUGGCCCCACACCAUCUGGGGUUUUCAAACUAUAUUAAUUGCAUGACCAGGCACCUUGAAGCCAAGAAACUGGCAUUAAAAUUGUUUUUAAGGGUG